ACUCAUGUAAGAUCGGCACUACAUGUUCUCUAAUGGGUCUAUCUCUGUCAUCUAUUAUUCGAGGAAUAUUAGCAUCCCUUCCUUGUAAUCGCUUUUCUCUAACCUGAUCAUUUCUAAUUCUUUCCAUUUCUCGCAAUUCAUUUCUCCUUAUUCUCAAGGUUCUCUCAAUUUCUAGAUCAAAAGAAUACUAUUCAAUUGCUGAAAUAUUUCUACUCAUGCACCAAAAAAACAAAUCAUGAAAAACAAAAAAAAAUCAAAACACUAAUUAAUCUAAAUUAAAAAAUUUUAAGAGAUAAUAGCAUACCAAAUAUUUCAUCAAAAUCUUGCCGAUCCUUGGCAAUG
rnacentral:lncRNA from 1 species